rnacentral:rRNA from 1 species
AUACGUAGGGUGCGAGCGUUAAUCGGAAUUACUGGGCGUAAAGCGUGCGCAGGCGGUUGUGUAAGACAGAUGUGAAAUCCCCGGGCUCAACCUGGGAACUGCGUUUGUGACUGCACAACUAGAGUACGGCAGAGGGAGGUGGAAUUCCGCGUGUAGCAGUGAAAUGCGUAGAGAUGCGGAGGAACACCGAUGGCGAAGGCAGCCUCCUGGGCCAGUACUGACGCUCAUGCACGAAAGCGUGGGGAGCAAACAGGAUUAGAUACCCUGGUAGUCCACGCCCUAAACGAUGUCAACUAGUUGUUCGGUGAGGAGACUCAUUGAGUAACGCAGCUAACGCGUGAAGUUGACCGCCUGGGGAGUACGGCCGCAAGGUUAA